UAGGGAAUAUUGGUCAAUGGACGCAAGUCUGAACCAGCCAUGCCGCGUGCAGGAUGACGGCCCUAUGGGUUGUAAACUGCUUUUGUACGGGAAGAAUAAGCUCUACGUGUAGAGUGAUGACGGUACCGUAAGAAUAAGGAUCGGCUAACUCCGUGCCAGCAGCCGCGGUAAUACGGAGGAUCCAAGCGUUGUCCGGAUUUAUUGGGUUUAAAGGGUGCGUAGGCGGCCUUUUAAGUCAGUGGUGAAAGUUUGCGGCUUAACCGUAAAAUUGCCAUUGAAACUGAAAGGCUUGAGUAUAGUUGAGGUGGGCGGAAUGUGUCAUGUAGCGGUGAAAUGCUUAGAUAUGAUACAGAACACCGAUUGCGAAGGCAGCUCACUAAACUAUAACUGACGCUGAGGCACGAAAGCGUGGGGAUCAAACAGGAUUAGAUACCCCCGUAGUCC
rnacentral:rRNA from 1 species